GCGGUGCACAUUUCAACUUUUCAGCUUCCCAGUGGAACUCACAGUAAUUGAGUCGGGAGGGUUAUUUUUCCUGGCCUCGCCUCGCGGCCCAGAGACUGCAGGGAGCUUUCGAGAAGACAUCGCCUCCUACCCCGCGACGCCCCGGCAGCUUCUGAGCGCCGCCCGGGCCUCCGCCCCGCGGGAACCAGGAGAGCGAAUCUCAGCCGCGGCCAGAAGGCUGAGGCCGGAGGGUGAAACCACCAGGGGUCCCAACGGAGGGCUUAUUCCCGCCCCGCUUCACGUGUGGGGUCAAAUCGCAUUAACACCAAACCACCAACGGGGCAGUAGCAGGUGGUUAAUUGCAAAAAACAGAGUUAACUGCAAGAGACUAACUUUACAGGAGGGGUGACUUGGUUUCCCUCCGUAGGUUUGUCAUCGUAAAAAAGAAGAUCCCUCCCUCCUCCUUAGUAGGAAGGCGGGGAAAGGUUAUCUGCGGGUCCGGGAGAAGGCUGGUGCACACAGUCGGUUUAGGGUGACCGGCAGCCGGCAGCCGGGCGCGGUAGGCGCGCGGGCUUCCAUCCGCGCGGCUAUUGGAAGCAGAUUUCGCUCACCCCUGUCUGGAAGAUGCAGGGAAAACCGCCUGACAUCAUGAGAGUGGGACAAACGCUCACUUUGAAGGAUUCCUGGGCAGGACUUCAAGUGAAAUCAUAUGCCUGAGAAGAACUUGAUACCGGUCUAGAGAAAAUAACCAGUUCUGAGUUUGCCAAACCGUGGAAUGUGCAAAAUGCUCGACUUUUUUGCAAGAGGCCAAAUGUCCCUUAAAAAGCUCCAUUAUGAAUAUGAGCCUGAGGACCGAAGGAGCAAGAAGCUUGUGUCCUUGCUGAGUGUGGGGGAAAAGUACACAGGUUGUGAGAGUUUCUGCUCUUUAACAUUUAUUAAAAUGUUCCACUUUGGGGAGGGUACCUGCAACUGUGCAUGAAUUAUCAUUUGUGCAUGUGUUUGUUAGCAAGUGUGUGUAAUGUGUGUGUAAUAAAGAGGAGAAAUGUGUGUAAGGGGAACACAAAUGUACUGCUUUCUUAUGAUUGAACCCUAUCAAUCU
ensembl:lncRNA